UAGUUAAAGGGCAACGUGCUGUAGUUAGUUAUAGGGCAACGUGCUGUAGUUAGUUAUAGGGCAACGUGCUGUAGUUAGUUAUAGGGCAACGUGCUGUAGUUAGUUAUAGGGCAACGUGCUGUAGUUAGUUAUAGGGCAACGUGCUGUAGUUAGUUAUAGGGCAACGUGCUGUAGUUAGUUAUAGGGCAACGUGCUGUAGUUAGUUAUAGGGCAACGUGCUGUAGUUAGUUAUAGGGCAACGUGCUGUAGUUAGUUAUAGGGCAACGUGCUGUAGUUAGUUAUAGGGCAAGGUGCUGUAGUUAGUUAUAGGGCAGCGUGCUGUAGUUAGUUAUAGGGCAGCGUGCUGUAGUUAGUUAUAGGGCAGCGUGCUGUAGUUAGUUAUAGGGCGACCCUGCUUCUAAUUCUAGUAGCAGCUAGAUUCCCAGAACUUCAGAUAGCUGGAAACAGAAUGGAAUAAGCAGGAAACCUGGAAUCCUGUUAUUUUUU